CCAACUGAGCAGAGUGGUUCUCCUCCUGUCACUACUGGCACUGAGGAGAGAAGAGGAGUGGAGAGCAAGCACAUAUUUGGUGUGAUUUCCCAGAGAGCUGUGUCCUGGCAGCUGCUUGCUUGAUCAUGUCUUGAUGGAUCUCUCCCACUUUGAUCUCUGCACGCAGAAAUGUGCUUCUCUGCCCUGUCUGCAAAGAUGAACUCAAAGCUGAGGGAGAUGCACUCAGCACUGCUACAAAAAUACUACAUAUACACUGCUGGGAGGGAAGCAGCUCCAUUAUCCUCACCUUCCCUGGCUUGUGCAGCCCUUCUGAACUUGCCAUCUCUCCCCUCACCUUGCUGCAGAAGGAACCUGGAGAUGGAGUGGCAUGGAGAGCUUGUGUCUGCUGAAAGGGAACACGAAGACCAAAAGCUGAACUCACAUCUUCUGCACUCAUUUACCAUGAGCUGCCUAUUUAAUCCUUUUAUUUUGUUGUCAUCAGCUUGGAUUUUCUUGUUUUCUUUUUCUUCUCUCCUAGCUGGUUUUUUUAGUUUCACAUCCACCCAAAACAAAGCUUAGUUUCAGUCUGACCACAGACUGAAAGGUCACUGGUUCACAUGACCACAUUUCAUCAUCAUCCCCUGCAAUCAAAAAAGCUGAGGCCUGUGAGCUCUCCCAUCCCCAGAAAUGAUUUCUCUUAAGGACAAUUUUCUAGCUCAAUAAACAGAGAUUUCUGAGAGCACUUUUGUCCUCAUUUAGCUUUGGAAAAGGGUGAGAAUCCACAGCUCGGGUUCAGCCUCUCUGAUAGAGCUCCCUUUAAGCUUGACCUCUGUCUCACUUAAGUGGCUUUGCUCUGACUUCAUGUUAUUGCCUUUUCUGGAGGGAUAGCUGAUGUACAACAGGGUCAGCAUUGACCUCUGUACCCUGACUAUAUUUUCUGAUCACUGUUAUUAGCUUUGAGGUGGGGAGGAAAAGAAUUUCCCAUGGGGUAAAUGUGUGGGGCUUAAUAUGGCUGCACCACUUUAAAACAAGUAGCGGCAGCUACAUGACUGUGCAUCAUGCCAAAUGUGCUAAGAGCCUGGGUGUGUAACAAGGUGCAAAAGCUUGCUCUAAAUAGACUAAAAUAAAUAAUUUGUGCUAAAAUAAA